UACGUAGGGUGCAAGCGUUGUCCGGAAGUAUUGGGCGUAAAGAGCUCGCAGGCGGUUUGUUGCGUCGGCUGUGAAAUCCCGAGGCUCAACCUCGGGUCUGCAGUCGAUACGAGCAAACUAGAGUGUUGCAGGGGAGACUGGAAUUCCUGGUGUAGCGGUGAAAUGCGCAGAUAUCAGGAGGAACACCGGUGGCGAAGGCGGGUCUCUGGGCCGAUACUGACGCUGAGGAGCGAAAGCGUGGGGAGCGAACAGG
rnacentral:rRNA from 1 species